GUCAGGCGAUAAGAGAAGACGAAGAAGAAGAAGAAUAUUGACCGAUCCUGCAGUUUUAGUUUACCUUUGGACCUGGAGAUGAUAACCGAAUGAUGAUAACGUGCGACAAAAAGUGUGAACAGUGUUUUCAAUUUCUUACAAUCAAGAAUAUUAAAAUGAAACAAUCCCAUUA